AUGAGUAUCAUCUGCUAGAACUGUCGAGGCCUGGGGUCGGACUCGACAGUUGGCGAGCUUCACUGGCUUGUGAAGCUCUACCGACCCUCCCUCCUCUUUCUUUCAGAGACAAAGAUGAGGGAUUCGAAAGUAAAGAAUUUCAUGUGGUCUUUGGGUUAUUCUGGUUGUUUUGUCGUCAGCGGCGAGGGGCUCAGUGGGGGCCUUGCUCUCUUCUCGUCACAUACAGCGGCAGUGACAGUUAGGGCUGCCAAUAAGCAGUGUAUAGAUGUCAAGGUCCAGCUGGAGGAGGUGUGCCUUGGUGGGCUUCUUUUGUCUAUGGGGAACCAAGGAGAGAGGAACAAGUUCACUUUUGGGAGCUCCUUCGACAUAUGCAUCCUUCCUGGACGGGUCCUUGGAUUUGUUGUGGUGAUUUCAGCGAAGUUCUUAUUCAGGAUGAACACUGUGGUCCUAGGGAGCGGUUGUACUUGCAAAUGGCUGCCUUUCGGGAUUGUUUGA
rnacentral:rRNA from 1 species